CCCGUGUUCUGUUACUGCACGGGAUGCAGUAAGCACCUUCAUAAUGUCACAGUCUGGGUGGCAGUGAAUCGGUGGCUCCCCUGGGGAAGGUCCUGGGGGCAGGGAAGUUGGCAGUGCCUCCAGGUCCCAGCAUGGUCCUGUGAGCUGCAGGGGCAGAUCUUGGCCAGGAGCAGCUGUCACUGCUCCAUUGAGCUGAUGAAUCUGUGACAUCGGUAAGGAACGAGCCCUAUAACUUUGGCUGCGAACACCGAUGACAGAGCAUUGAUGUGACCAUCCACAAAAAGAGGAUUCUAAGAUCCGCCUGCUGGGGAGCUGGGGCAGAGUAAGGCAUAUUACCUGUGAUGGCUGGACGUGAAGGUUAUUAACUUCCUAGAGUGCACGCUCAGGGGACAGACAGACAGACUUCCACCAGGAAUGCUCCACCUGAGAUUUCAUGCUCAGACAACUGUAGCAAUACAAAACAGAUGAGGUUGAGCCAGGAGAAAGCAGAUCUUUCAUGGAUGGGAUCCCCUGCACCAAUUCCAACUUGUUGUUCUUGACACUAAAGCUACUCUGAAGUAUUCCUUAAAGCUUGGCUUGUUUUCUAAACCAGCUAGGAGGAAGAUGCCAUCAGCCACUUCAUGCCUCUACAACUGCACUCCAUUUGCUCAAACCAGCUUAAAAAUAAGUCUUUUGAAUAUCUUCCAUCUUGAAAUAUUUCAAGAGAAAAAGGCAAGUAUCGCUGUUUCCUGUCAUUCAUAACUUUCUGAAAUAACAAAUGGAAACCUGGAGACACCAUCCACCGCUGGAUGACAC
ensembl:lncRNA